UACGAAGGGUGCAAACGUUGCUCGGAAUUAUUGGGCGUAAAGCGCACGUAGGCGGCUUUGCAAGUCCCAUGUGAAAUCCCACGGCUCAACCGUGGAAGUGCAUGGGAAACUGCAGAGCUUGAGUACUUAAGAGGAUCGCGGAAUUCCCGGUGUAGAGGUGAAAUUCGUAGAUAUCGGGAGGAACACCAGUGGCGAAGGCGGCGAUCUGGGAAGAUACUGACGCUGAGGAGCGAAAGCGUGGGGAGCGAACAGG
rnacentral:rRNA from 1 species